CGCGUAGGCGGAAUGAUAAGUUAGUGGUGAAAGCCUCCGGCUCAACCGGAGAACUGCCAUUAAUACUGUCAUUCUUGAGUAUAGUUGAAGUGGGCGGAAUGUAUCAUGUAGCGGUGAAAUGCUUAGAUAUGAUACAGAACACCGAUAGCGUAGGCAGCUUGCUAAACUAUAACUGACGCUCAGGCACGAAAGCGUGGGGAGCAAACAGGAUUAGAUACCCUGGUAGUC
rnacentral:rRNA from 1 species